UACGUAGGGUGCGAGCGUUGUCCGGAAUUAUUGGGCGUAAAGAGCUCGUAGGCGGUCUGUCGCGUCGAUCGUGAAAACUUGGGGCUUAACCCUGAGCUUGCGGUCGAUACGGGCAUGACUGGAGUUCGGCAGGGGAGACUGGAAUUCCUGGUGUAGCGGUGAAAUGCGCAGAUAUCUGGAGGAAUACCGGUGGCGAAGGCGGCGUUCUGGACCAUUACUGACACUGAAUCGCGAAAGCUAGGGGAGCAAACGGG
rnacentral:rRNA from 1 species